rnacentral:rRNA from 1 species
GGCUGACUAAACCCUUUGGCGGAAUGAAAGUAAGAAGAAGCGCGUUCUCGCGAGUGCGCGGCUGAUCCUCUUUGGGGGGAGUAUUCUCCCUUUUGAGGCGCAAGCUGAGGGCCUGUCGAUGUCGGUUGAUGUCUGCGAGGCGGUGGUGUUUACAUUUGCCGUAUUUUCCGGUCGAUCGGCCGGCAGGCACCUUUAGCGUAAAUGUUAGUACCCGAAAGAUGGUGAUCUAUGCUUGGCUAGAACGAAGCUGGGGGAAACUCUGGUGGAAGUUCGUAGCGGUUCUGACGUGCAAAUCGAUCGUCGGAGCUGAGUAUAGGGGCGAAAGACCAAUCGAACUAUCUAGUAGCUGGUUCCCUCCGAAGUUUCCCUCAGGAUAGCUGGCUCUCGGAGUAGUUUCACCCGGUAAAGAGAAUGAUCAGGGGUCCUUGGGGAUAAACCUUCCUCAGCCCGUCCUCAAACUCUAAAUGGGUGAGAAGCCGGGCUUUCGUAAAAAGAAGCCACGGCAUCGAAUAAAAUGAGAGCCCAGUGGGCCAUUUUUGGUAAGCAGAACUGGCGAUGUGGGAUGAACCAAACGUUCGAGUUAAGGGGCCAAAAUGUCGGUCAAUUAGAUACCGUUAAAGGCGUUGGUCGCUCAUGACAGCAGGUCGGUGGCCCUGGAAGUCGGCAUCCGCUAAGGAGUGUGU